rnacentral:lncRNA from 1 species
GUCACAUGAUGGACAUGAUAUAAUGAAACAACAUUGUGGAGAGGAAAGCAUUAGGGGAGCCCACGGCUACAAAAACAAGUGAGUGAGAAGAGGUGGGAGGAAGAGAAACUACGCCACCUCCCCUGCAGCCGAGUGCACGCAGCAGCCUGGCGUGACAAGUGGGCGACGCCGGGGGGCAGGGAGCCGGGGUCCUUGGCCCUGGCCGGGGACCCCACCGCCCACCGCGCGGAGGACAACUUUUAGCCGGCAGCCCAGACCAGCGCGGCACCUGUCUCCGGAGUCUCCACCGCUCCUCCCGAUUCAUCCCAGGGAAAUUCUCAAGAAUACGCUCUACAAAUCUACGUGCGCAUCAUUUUCACCUCGCGUCGCGCCCGGGAGGAAGGAACGAGGCAAGGAGCUAAAGCAGCGUGCGUUCAGCCCUGGGGCAUUUUAUUAAUGCUUUUACGAGUUAGAAGAGUUGGGAUAAUUUGCCAUCUGGAGUUUCUCUGCCUUGCUGAUCUGAGCUCAGACCUGCCAAUUUACCAGAGAUAAUUGAUAACACCCUGUAACAGCUGAGAGGAAAAUGGAAGAAACGGAGAUACUUUUAGUGAAGCAGAAUAAACCACUGAACAGGAAAAAUGAGGAAGCUGUGAGUACCAGUGGAAGGAACGAGCCAGGAAGAGGGACUGGAACCAUCUCAGAAGCCAUGCCCCUCAGGCUGGAACUUGCCCUGUCUCCUCGCAGAUGAGUCUCUUCUUUCCGCCAGCUACCUCUUGUGUUUAAGAAUUAAAGGAAGAUGAGCUAGGAAUCAAGAAAUACGCAGAACUGAUUCCUGUCACUGGCGCCACCCUGCCACUUGCCCAGAGCUGUGGUAUAAAUUUUUUUAAUAGGCUGAAAUAAAAAUAUGAAUAGCAUUUUGGUAUUAAGCAUUAAAUUGAUAAAGGCUAUGAGAUACACCUGCUCUCAACCAUGUUAAUUUUUUAUUAUUGGUAUUAAUAAAUUAUUACUUACUAACAUAUUAACAAGAAUUGCAUUGAGAAACAAAGCAUCCACAGGCCAAAUCUUCUGAAUUUCAAAUGUUUAUAUUAAUGCGUUGUAUUCUAGAAAAGUAGAAUUGUCUUAAGUAGCUUUGUAAUAUAAAGUCAUCUAUCAGCCCAUUACACCUAUUAGAAUGUUUUAACCUUUAUUUCCCACUUUUUUGUUUCUAGACUGAGUGUACUUGGUCUGGUAUUUGUGGCAUAACUUACGGAACACAUAAGAAUGAUACAGAUACUAUUUAAUGAUGACCUAAUACAAGCUUAGAUAGCUAAGGUGAAAGCUUCUAUGGCCUUAACAUUUUCCUCUUGAAGAAUGUAUUUUCUGUAAUAAAAUACAGUGGCUACUUGAAAUCUAUAAACUUAUGUGAGGUCUGGAUAAAUCUGAGCAACUUUCUUCUUUGUGCUCCAGGAACCUACGCACUAUAUAUAUAAAUAAAGCUUAAGUAAACAUCACUGCAA